ensembl:lncRNA
AUUAUCAUAGAUCACUAGAAUGACUUCAUUUGGGAAUGGCUUGUUCAUUAAGAUAUUUUAUUCAAUCAUCUGUCCUAAUCAUAUCUUUAACUUAUUUUGUAAGUAAAUCAGAAUAAUGCAGUAAUACCCCCUCCUCUCUCUCUCUCUCUGUGUGUGUGUGUGUGUCUUCUCUGAGCUCCUACUGACUUCUGAUCAACUUUUAAUUGAAUUUGACAGAGCGACAGAUGUCUUGAAGACAUUAGAGGAGAGAAAGCCCCAGCUCAGCACCACUCUGAAAGAAAAGAAACGCGCUGGGCUUUGUUGGAGCAAGAGCCGGUCUUUACCACCCCGGCACCCGGCCAGCCCUGAGGACUGUGAGGGCUCAUCACACCCGCCAUGCAGGCUGGCCUCUUCAUGGCCACGGAGCUGGACCCAGAGGCAUCGCCCCUUCCUCACCGAGGCGAAGCUGACUUGCGGCAACCGUCCCCGCUUGAUUUCAGUAAGGGUUGUGCUAAGGUAAGAGCUGAGUCACCGGGUCGUGGGCUGCGCUGGCUUCCCGUCCCAUGGUCCCGCUAGCACGGUGAGAGGAGGAAAAGAGGAUAAAGAAACGGUCCCAACAUUGCCGAAACUGCUGUAAAACACGGCACAAUGGUGCACAUAUUGGCUUGCUUUGUCCAAAAAUGUUGCAUAAGGCGAAAAUCAUGCUACUUUCCUCUUCUCUCUUUUCCCCAUCUUGGCUACCUUCCAGUUUUUCUAAGAAUUUAAUUUAAUUUCAUUUGAUUUUUCCAAAACCUCAGUUCUGCUGUCUCUCCUAGGUGGGUUACUAGUUAGGUAACCGCAGGUUAAAACGGAUCUGAGAGCUAAAACUGGGUGCUGCUGCUCUGCGGAGUCAUAAUAGUUCAAUAUACAGUGUCCAAGUCUGGAUCUCACCAGCUAAAGAUGCCAUCAGUGCUUGGCCCCCCGCGCCUCAUCCUGCCGUUAUUUUGCUGAACUGCCCAUACUGCAGGUAGGAGGGCUGGUGGCCUUCGAAAUGGCAUUCAGUCAACUUUCCUGUACACCGAGGAGUUCUGCUGUUUGCUCAGACCUUCCUGAUGGUCACGUCCCAAGGAAUUACUCCUGUCAUACAGAGGUUUGUCAGUGCGAAAGAAGCUGAUGACCUUGAGGACAGAUUUUAAAAAAUGCCUGAAAGCUUUUGAAGCCCAGCACGUGUUGCGGGCAUAUUCUCCUAGAGCAUUUAGUGAAUUUUAAAAUCCUUGCUGAAGGCUAGUCCUGAGGAGUAGCAACCCGCGCUGUUGUGACGGAUGGGCAGGUCCCGAGCAGGAGUGUCAGCAGACUCCACCGAUGGAUUGCCAUGAGUCAGCCUUGGGAGCCUCCCCCUGCACAGACAGGAUUUUAGAAGAUCCGAAAGUGAUUUUAUCCAUAAGCGAAACUUGUGGCUUGCAGAUUCCCUUGCCCAGAUGAUGCUAUUGCUCACGUCUAAGAGCAGUCCUUCCGGAUCAGGGCUCACGAGCGCCAUCAGAUCUGGCCGGAGACAUGCGCGCUUCAGGUGCAAGGAUCUCCGCAAGCUUCCUGCACGUCCAGAGAUGCAUAUCCGUUGAUGAGGAGCGAAAUCCCGCGUGUCAGCAGGCUGACUGGAGAGCUUUUGCUAAGUAUAUGUGCAUUUAGCUUAGUUUCUGAACUAAAAGGAAAGGCAAGUGAGACUAAGAACAUAUGGCUUAAUGACAUAUUUGGAGAUGGUCAUUUGUUCUGUUUUCCACCUGAAUGAAUUUAAAGGCACAGCUGAAAUUAAAAUGUCAAAUCUCCAUUUGAGAUGUAAUCUAUUGUCGUAUGGGUGUCAUCGAAUCUGUUAAUAAUUAGGACCUGGCACCUCUGUUUCGUGCAGCCCCUAGUACAAAGUCACCGUGUUUAACUUACUUCACAGCAAUGCUGGAAAUAUGGGCACUGAAUUGUCGACACCAGACCUUUUAUAUAUAUUGAAGCAACUUUUUAAACAUUUUUCUUUAACUAAAUAUAUUUAACUAAAUAUAUCUUUAACUGAAUAUAUUUUCCUUUAAACAUAGUGUUAGCUCCGUGUUAGACACUACCUAUAUUUUCAUUGAUGUAGUAGAAUUAAAAAUAAACUAAAAUAUUUAAGGACA